UGGGGAAUCGUGGGCAAUGGGCGAAAGCCUGACCCCGCGACGCCGCGUGGAGGAAGAAGCCCUUCGGGGUGUAAACUCCUGUCAGGGGGGAAGAUGCUCACAGAGGUGAAUAAUCUCUGUGGGUGACGGUACCCCCAGAGGAAGGGACGGCUAACUACGUG
rnacentral:rRNA from 1 species